UUUGACUUUGUUGUCGGAGGCUUGGACUUGGAGGUCAUGUCGGCUCUCGUAGUCGACUCCUCUGAAAUGCAUUAGUGCGAACGUUACCAGCCGCUUCAGCGUGAUAAUUAUCUGCGUUGCUGUGGAGGGUAUGCUAGUGUUCGCGCUUCUAACCGUCUUCGGACAACAUUUCUAAACUC
rnacentral:misc_RNA from 1 species